rfam:Jannaschia sp. CCS1, complete genome.
GCGUCGGACGCGAAAAUGCCCGACAUGCAGGCGGGGUGGGAGCAGAUGUGCUCCAAUGUCAUGGCCGGGCUGUCGGGUCUGAACAUGGUCUAUGAGGCGG